UGGAAGAACUAGGCUAGAAAAGAAUCCCUCAUUCAUUCAUCAAUUUCAUUGCCUCUUCCCUGUCCUAGGUGUGGACGAAGACCGAGACUUCUCUAAGAUCCGAUUCGAUGGUAUAUCCCUCUUCUAUUGUUCUUAGACAGAUCUCUCACUCUUGAUGAAGAAAAAGACUUCAGCUUUAAAGAUCCGAUCUUGUCUUCACUCACCGAUUCCUUUAAUAAGAGGAAUGCCCGGAAUGCUUGGUACCCUUUUUCUUGCUACUGGUUUAUUCCUGUCCCACUUCUGCUUUCCUCACUCCCCGCCUUAAGAGUUAUUGCUUCAAGUAAAUUUGCCUUGCUAGCUUGCCCUCUAUUAUUACUGUACAGAGCGGGGAAGAAGCACUACUGAAGGUCAUUACUGUGUUGGAUCAACUACUUCAAUUGGAGCAUUCUGGUAAGCUUGAUCCUCGGGUUAGGUUCUUUUUCAUUGGCAUGUGAUAGGGCGGGGUGGUCUACCGGUGAGAGCCAGACGGGAAAGACAUAGAUGGCACCAAUCUAAUCUCAAGAACUCUGAUUCAACCAUUUCUGUGUCGCUGACUGGGGUCUCUCCCCCUCUGGGGAAUCCAUAGAAAGCAAAACAAUUCCAUAAAGUGACAAUUUUGCUGUCCGUCUCGAUUCAUUCUCUUUUUUAGUCUGAUUAUGGCAUGUGUCACGCUCAUCUAUUCUAUAGUCAAAGCAGGAGCCUAUCCUUAGCAACGUGCCGUGCCCCGGUUGUCAUCUUUGUCUUUGUGUGUGUCUGAGUGGGACCUUUCCUCGUGAAUUGCCUUCUUCGAGGCAUGAUCAGGGGGGCAUACGGGUUUUUUCUUCUUUUAUUUGUGUUGAUCUGAGCACCGCCCUAGCGAACUAUUGGGUUGAGGGACCCAGCCCAGACAACUUUGGAGUAGAGUCACUUCCAAUAGCUUCAGUAAAGCUCUUAAAAUACGAGAAAUAUCAAUCGGUGGAAAUUUCUGUGGUUGGUUCUUGAACCGAUUCCAUUUCAGGUUCCCCAAGACAACAAUGAAUGGACUCUUUCUGGGGAGGUUGAGGGAAGGAUAAAGCAGCUAAGGCAGGAUAUCAUUGUUGUAAGCCUCCUUCACUGCAUUAGAUUAGCGCCCUAUUGAUCGUGUCUUCGGAGGGUUGGAGAAGCGUUAAAUACUCCUUUAGGAAAGAACUCCUUGCCAUCUUUACGCCUUACAUGCGGCAUAAAUCGCAUAAAUCAAAGUAGAGGUCACAAGAUGACCUAAAGUCCAGAAAAAACCCACUCUCCCCCGGGAGUGCUUUCGAGAACACAUGCACCGGUUAUUGCAUCAACAUCUUCUACAGAUAGUUUACCAAGAAUAGCAAAGGAGAUUCCACCAAGAACUUCUAUUGCUAAAAGAGCUAAUUCAAGUGCAGUACUUACUGUAACAAGAACAACGUGAACUCAUUCUCAAGCACUUGCAGCGACAAUGUGGUAUUCUCUUCCACGCAGCCUUUUCCUGACGAAAUUUCUAGUGGGGUUUACUCUGGUAUAGGCGUGAACCAUAUUUACAGAGAAGCAAACUCUUCUGCAGAUUCUAUAGCCGGCUCCUCCCUUUCUGGUUUGCAUGUCUUUCAUUCUGAAUUGCCUCCUUUGACUCGUGCAUGCUUGCGUUUAGAUAGGUUAGAUACUUCUUAUAUUAGGAGAAUUAUUGUAAAGGAGUAGUAAGGGAGUGAAACCCCGAUCUAAUCUUACACGUGCGAGGACAGUCCUCUGAAUAGAGUCCAUUGCAUCCCACAAUAAUCGACGGGCAGCCCUCGUACAUUUAGCAUAAACCGCUGAAAACUCGAAAGUCUGUCCACUCUGAGUGGGCAGAGCCUUAUUACCUUAUUAAUAGGAGGGAUGCAAGGAAUUGAUGCUACGAAUGCCAUAGCAAGUGAAUCAGAAUAAGCCCUAGCCCAGCUACUGAUUGGAAAGGUUUAAAUAAGAGUGUGCCUAGCGUCUUUCGCUCUCUCUUAUUAGAAGAAGGAAGGGGCGCGACCCCACUCAGCUCGAAGAAGUAGCUCUUUCAACUAAUCCAUACUUUUCCUCUCCAACCAGUCAAGUGGCCCAAGGGCCACCUCAAUCUUAUUCUGUUUCCGAUCCUGCUUCAGAUUCUCUUUCAGUUGUGGAAACAAGCCCCUAUUCCUAUCGGUUGAGUAGCCCAAGCUCCUUAAAGCGUAUUGUCCCCUCUCCUGUGAAAGAAAGAGGUUGAUGCACCCAGCUACCCGAAGUAGAGCUUUCUUUGUCCCACCUUUCCUUACUGACUUUCCUAGUUUAGAUAGCGUAUUGAGAAUCAUGUCAAAAUACACCAAGACCUGGGCCCAGGUUCUCUUUCUUCAAGAAAGGGUAGCUUUAAACAACCCGGUUCCAAACACACCAAACAAGCAAGCGACUCCCCUUCCUUAGCGUACCCGUCCAUUAAGGCAUUCUUCCUUCUUGCGUAUGUGUUAUAGCUCAUAGCUCUAAGCCCCAAUUCCUUGGUGAAAAGAGCUGUCGCCUUUAAAUCAUCGAAAAAAGAAAAGAAGGAACCGCUCGAAAGGGACCACACAACAAUGGCUCAUAACUGGAAAACAUAACAACAAUGUCUCCUAGCUGCAAAAGAAUGGCUCCCAACUGAAAAUUUCUCUCGAUCACUCUCUAACAGAAAGCCAUUUUCCCUUUCGCAAAAAGUCAACUUGGACUUCUUUCCUAAGCGGAGAUUUGGACUACAUGGACCUAAGCAACCCGCCGACAGGGGCAGCCUUUCACUGUUGGAAACUUUGAUUUAGAUUGGUAGGAUUCUGUCUAAUCUUUCCUAAUUUCGAAAUUGCACUCAAUCAACAUAGUUUCCACUCAUUCCUUCUCGACCGCCUCUUUUCUAGUCACUUUUGAUCAAAUCUUUCUUGUGAUUUUCUAUUCUCUUAUGAGAAAUGGUUUGCUUCGUUUGAGCCGUCGUCGCUUAAUGCAUGUAGGGGGGCUGGGGCUUUUCCCCCACGACCCCUUUUAAAGGAGAACCAGAAGAACAACAAUGAACUCAAAGCUAAUGAAGGAGAUCCGCAACUUGAACAAGGUAGACGGGAUCUUUCCUACCCCUUUCUAUUUCGACUUCUUUGAAAGGUGAAAGAGUAAGAAGCUAGACCGACUUGCUCUUAAA
rnacentral:lncRNA from 1 species